AUUUUACUCCAUAGAUUAGAGACACUGGAAUGUUCUUUAGUCGAAAGUUCUGGCGCCUUAGGAUGGAUCUGCGGUCGAUUAGGUUGUUGUUGGGGUAACGGCCCAACAAGCCUGUAAUCGAUACGGGUUGUGGGAGCAAGAGCCCGGAGAUGGAAUCUGAGACACGAUUCCAGGCCCUACGGGGCGCAGCAGGCGCGAAAACUUUACAAUGCAGGAAACUGUGAUAAGGGAACUCCGAGUGCCCGUAUACGCGGGCUGUCCAGGUGUUUAAAAAUCAUCUGAAGAAAGGGCCGGGCAAGACCGGUGCCAGCCGCCGCGGUAAUACCGGCGGCUCGAGUGGUGGCCACUAUUAUUGGGCUUAAAGCGUCCGUAGCUGGACCGAUAAGUCUCUUGGGAAAUCCGCCGGCUCAACCGGCGGGCGUCUAAGGGAUACUGUUAGUCUAGGGACCGGGAGAGGUGAGAGGUACUCCGGGGGUAGGAGUGAAAUCCUGUAAUCCCCGGGGGACCACCGAUGGCGAAGGCAUCUCACCAGAACGGCUCCGACAGUGAGGGACGAAAGCUGGGGGAGCGAACCGGAUUAAAUACCCGGGUAGUCCCAGCCGUAAACUAUGCGCGUUAGGUGU
rnacentral:rRNA from 1 species